UACGUAGGGGGCAAGCGUUGUCCGGAUUUAUUGGGCGUAAAGAGCUCGUAGGUGGUUCGGUAAGUCGGAUGUGAAAUCUCCAGGCUCAACCUGGAGGGGUCAUUCGAUAGUGCCGUGACUAGAGUUCGGUAGGGGAGUGUGGAAUUCCUGGUGGAGCGGUGAAAUGCGCAGAUAUCAGGAGGAACACCCGUAGCGAAGGCGGCACUCUGGGCCGAUACUGACACUGAGGAGCGAAAGCGUGGGGAGCGAACAGG
rnacentral:rRNA from 1 species